AUGAGGGCCCCUGUGCAGCUCCUCAGCUUCCUGCUGCUCUGGUUCCCGGGUUCCAGGUGUGAUAUCCAGAUGAUCCAGCCUCCAUCCGUGUCUGCAUCUCUGGGAGACAAAGUCACCAUCACCUGCAAGGCCAGUCAGGACAUUAUGAAUGUGUUAUACUGGUAUCAGCAGAAACCAGGGAAAGCUCCCAGGCUCCUGAUCAAGUUUGCAACCAGCUUAGGACCAGACGUCCCUUCCCGGUUCAGUGGCAGUAGAUCUGAGAACGAUUACACUCUCACCAUCAGCAGCGUCAAGCCUGAGGAUGCUGCCACUUAUUACUGUCAACAGGGUAGUAGUUCCCCUCCCACAGUGAUACAAGCCAGUACAUAA